AUAACACGAAAACGCUGGAGAGAGUCUGGGAUCAUACCGCCUACCGUUUAUGCUGUUAGAUGAUCAUCUUAGCUCAAAGUCUCUUGGACGUGGACGCGUUUCUCCUGCGAUCGCCAAUAUAUCUCUUACGUUGAACAACCUGCAGGAUGUUUUCAGAAGACGUACAAGACACGGUGAUUGCAGCAUUUGAACCUGUGUAUGAGUACCUUCUGAACUCUCGUCUGAGCAGAUUCGUGAAAUGUUUUGUCGUCAUCAUCAUUCGGUAGAAUGUCUUCCACAGCUAAAUCUCCUCGAGUGCAUUGUGGUAAUUCUGUUGUGUUGUAAUCAGGUGGGGGAAGUCUGGCUACUUUGACAGCCAAACGGCUCGUGAAGUUCCAUGCCUCUGCAACGAUCCAGUCUCCAUGUUGAAGCUCUCUGUUCUGCUCUAUUGCCUUUGCAGCGUUUUCCACAUACCUAAAAGUUUGACUAUAUGACAAGCAGACACCCAUAUGGUUAAGAGUAGUAAUGACUUGUUUACUAGUUGCCCUGGCAACCAACAUCAAACUAACUAGAAGCUGAAAACCUUUGACCUUGUCACUUGCCUUCUUCGCUAGUAAGCAGACUGCUGCCAAGCUGUAGAUAUCUUUUGGUCCUGUAGUGGUGUCAGUUUGGCCUAUCGAGGAAAGCAGUGAUGUAAUUUUGGGAGCGUGUGUAAGUAAUUGGCUGUGUAGAUUAUGUAAACUAAAGUCUGCAGUCAGUGAAGAUGCAUCUGCUGCAUCAACUGGACCUGUUGACAUGAUUCCUCCAGCUCUCUGUAGCGCAUUCAGCUCUGCGUUAAUUUCUGUACCUACUUGAUGCCACUGGAUAGAUUGACUCUCAAUAAUUGAUUGUUGCAGUUCAGCCUCCAAGUCUUG